UACGUAGGUGGCAAGCGUUGUCCGGAUUUACUGGGCAUAAAGAGCGCGCAGGCGGUCGUUCAAGUCGCGUGUGAAAGCCCCCGGCUCAACUGGGGAGGGUCACGCGAUACUGAUCGACUCGAAGGCAGGAGAGGGUAGUGGAAUUCCCGGUGUAGUGGUGAAAUGCGUAGAUAUCGGGAGGAACACCAGUGGCGAAGGCGACUACCUGGCCUGUUUCUUGACGCUGAGGCGCGAAAGCUAGGGGAGCAAACGGG
rnacentral:rRNA from 1 species